rnacentral:rRNA from 1 species
CUACGGGAUGCAGCAGUGGGGGAUAUUGCACAAUGGGGGAAACCCUGAUGCAGCAACGCCGCGUGAAGGAAGACGGUUUUCGGAUUGUAAACUUCUAUCAGCAGGGAAGAAAAUGACGGUACUUAAUGAAUAAGCUCCGGCUAACUACGUGCCAGCAGCCGCGGUAAUACGUAGGGAGCGAGCGUUGUCCGGAUUUACUGGGUGUAAAGGGUGCGUAGGCGGCAUAGCAAGUCAGAUGUGAAAUGUAUGGGCUUAACCCAUGGACUGCAUUUGAAACUGCUAAGCUUGAGUGAAGUAGAGGUAGGCGGAAUUCCCUGUGUAGCGGUGAAAUGCGUAGAGAUAGGGAGGAACACCAGUGGCGAAGGCGGCCUACUGGGCUUUAACUGACGCUGAGGCACGAAAGCGUGGGUAGCAAACAGGAUUAGAUACCCUGGUAGUC